GCUGCGGGUACUCGAGUGGCGAACGGGUGAGUAACACGUGGGUGAUCUGCCUUGCACUUCGGGAUAAGCUUGGGAAACUGGGUCUAAUACCGGAUAGGACAGCUGUUUAGUGUCAGUUGUGGAAAGUUUUUUCGGUGCAAGAUGAGCUCGCGGCCUAUCAGCUUGUUGGUGGGGUAAUGGCCUACCAAGGCGUCGACGGGUAGCCGGCCUGAGAGGGUGUACGGCCACAUUGGGACUGAGAUACGGCCCAGACUCCUACGGGAGGCAGCAGUGGGGAAUAUUGCACAAUGGGCGGAAGCCUGAUGCAGCGACGCCGCGUGGGGGAUGAAGGCCUUCGGGUUGUAAACUCCUUUCGACAGGGACGAAGCGUAAGUGACGGUACCUGUAUAAGAAGCACCGGCUAACUACGUGCCAGCAGCCGCGGUAAUACGUAGGGUGCGAGCGUUGUCCGGAAUUACUGGGCGUAAAGAGCUCGUAGGUGGUUUGUCGCGUCGUCUGUGAAAUUCCGGGGCUUAACUCCGGGCGUGCAGGCGAUACGGGCUGACUUGAGUGCUGUAGGGGAGACUGGAAUUCCUGGUGUAGCGGUGAAAUGCGCAGAUAUCAGGAGGAACACCGAUGGCGAAGGCAGGUCUCUGGGCAGUAACUGACGCUGAGGAGCGAAAGCAUGGGUAGCGAACAGGAUUAGAUACCCUGGUAGUCCAUGCCGUAAACGGUGGGCGCUAGGUGUAGGGGGCUUCCACGUCUUCUGUGCCGUAGCUAACGCAUUAAGCGCCCCGCCUGGGGAGUACGCCGCAA
rnacentral:rRNA from 1 species